rnacentral:rRNA from 1 species
GCUAAACGCGAAGAACCUUACCAAGGCUUGACAUGGAUUUCUAAGCACGUGAAAGCGUGUGACCCUUCGGGGGACGUUCCACAGGUGCUGCAUGGCCGUCGUCAGCUCGUGUCGUGAGAUGUUGGGUUAAGUCCCGCAACGAGCGCAACCCUUGUCCUUAGUUGCCAGCGAGUAAUGUCGGGAACUCUAAGGAGACUGCCGGUGACAAACCGGAGGAAGGUGGGGAUGACGUCAAGUCCUCAUGGCCCUUACGGCCAGGGCUACACACGUACUACAAUGGUCGGUACAGAGGGUUGCCAAACCGCAAGGUGGAGCCAAUCCCAGAAAGCCGAUCCCAGUCCGGAUCGGAGUCUGCAACUCGACUCCGUGAAGUCGGAAUCGCUAGUAAUCGCGGAUCAGCUAUGCCGCGGUGAAUACGUUCCC